rnacentral:rRNA from 1 species
UACGUAGGUGGCAAGCGUUGUCCGGAAUUAUUGGGCGUAAAGAGCGUGUAGGCGGCCAGAUAAGUCCGCUGUGAAAUGUCGAGGCUCAACUUCGAGCUGUCGGUGGAAACUAUCUGGCUAGAGUCCGGAAGAGGAGAAUGGAAUUCCUGGUGUAGCGGUGAAAUGCGCAGAUAUCAGGAAGAACACCCGUGGCGAAGGCGGUUCUCUGGGACGGUACUGACGCUGAGACGCGAAAGCGUGGGGAGCGAACAGG